AAACGAAACAGUGAUGUGGAGUAAAACUUAGAAAAACGGUACUCAGUUCGGAUUGAAGGCUGAAAUUCGCCUUCGUGAAGCUGGAAUUGCUAGUAAUGGCAGGUCAGCAUACUGCCGUGAAUACGUUCCCGGGCCUUGUACACACCGCCCGUCACACCAUGAGAGUUGGAAAUACCCGAAGCCUGUGAGCUAACUUUUAGAGGCAGCAGUCGAAGGUAGAGCCAAUGAUUGGGGUGAAGUCGUAACAAGGUAUC
rnacentral:rRNA from 1 species